rnacentral:tRNA from 1 species
ACUCAAAUAGCUUAAGUUUAAAGCUUAGUAUUGAAGAUACUAUUAUAAGAUAAUGUCUUUUUGAGUA